rnacentral:rRNA from 1 species
UCCAUGUGAACAGCAGUUGAACAUGGGUCAGUCGGUCCUAAGAGAUGGACAAAUGCCGUUCGGAAGGGAGGGGCGAUGGAUUCGGGUUCAGAUCCCAGAAUCCGGAGUGGCGGAGACGGGCGCGGUGAGGCAUCCUGUGCGGUAACGCGACCGAUCCCGGAGAAGCUGGCAGGAGCCCCGGGGAGAGUUCUCUUUUCUUUGUGAAGGGAAGGGCACCCUGGAAUGGGUUCGCCCCGAGAGAGGGGCCCAAGCCCUGGAAAGUGUUGCGGUUCCGGGGGCGUCCGGUGAGCUCUCGCUGGCCCUUGAAAAGAGGGUGUAAAUCUCGCACCGGGCCGUACCCAUAUUCGCAGCAGAUCUCAAUCUAUAAGCCCAGAAUGAUAGUGAAGUGGGCAAUCAAGUACAAUACAAGAAAGGGGAACAAUAAAUAACCGUAAAUAAAAAUGGUUGCCGGUCGGGGGGGCCACGAAACAAAAACAGAUCGGAAGGCCGUCGAGCGAAAUAGACCAAUGAAGAGUGGGUAAACGGUGCGAGACUCUACGACUCUCCGAAGAUGGGAUAGGCUCCUCCUUUCCCUUGGUAUGGGGUUCGGAGCCCAAGCUCAGUUCCCCGCAUCGCCACAUCGCCUGGGUUGCGCCCGACCGGCUCAAUUCCCCCUCUCCCUGUUAGGCACGGCCGCAUGACGUCAGGUGCGUCGGCUACGUCCGAAGGGAAUCGGCGUUCGCUGGUGAACCGGAUCUUCCCACCUCGGGCUCCAAUAUCAAGCGCCUGCCCACAGGAUAGUAUGAGGUGGUAAGGGAGGUGCCCUCCAGUAGGGCCGCUCCAAUCCCUCUUUGUAUGACACCUGGUGGGGGCGAGUAUAUCUAUCUCUGACAGGCUAGAGCGAGGAAGUAGGGAGGGGGCCCUCUAGUAGGACGCUCGUAUGACACCUGGUGGGGGCAGGUCGAACUGUCUCUGGCAUGUUAGUGCAGGGAGGUAAGGGAGGUAGCCCUCUAGUAGGACGCUUCCAAACCCUCCCUGUAGGUCACCUGUUCUCAGGUGUCGAUAAUGUUGCAAACAAGAGUAACCAACCAGAGAAUGGUGGCUCGAAUGCGUUCCCAGCUCCAGCUGGGAGGGGGGGAACUGAGUUCCGGGAGACGGCUGAUGGAGCUUCGGCAACAGCAGUCUGAUGACAGAGCCUCUGUGGCGAAACGUUUAAAUACGCGCGUCUCCCACAUACUUAGGGAACUCUAAACCGCGAAGGUUUGAUUCUAAUCUAAACCUUGACGGGGCUUGUCAAGAGUGAGCAUUAAAGGGAGACGGCCGGUGCUUAGUGGUUAGUGCACUACCAGGUCCCAGGUUCGCCUGAGUACGGGACUCUACACAUUAAAGUGUGAGCUCCCUUCCACGCUUCUUGGAGCAUGAAGCGGGAUGGCAUGUGACUAACCGUUAGCAAAAACAUACUGUCUACGGUUGGGUCCUAGGUUCCGAGGACCCAGGGGUAAUAACUACCCCCAUGGUGAAUACAGCGGAUAAAAAUGCAGGCCGAAAGGGAGGUACACUACAUGCAUACGCGCACAUGGUAAGGUGCAAAGGGACGGAACGGUAACACAUAUCACUCACAUCGGCAAAACUCACACAGAGUGUUACAGUUCCAUACAAUGCAGAGGGCACUACCAUCCAACGCACGGUCAAAUAAUCCCACUCUUUUGUCGCCCUCAGGUCUCUUGCGGUGACAGACGAAGUUAAGCAGCAGGAACUAGAUGCCCUUCCCAGCUGGAGGACCCUAGAUAGUCAGCGUCAGCCCUUGGGGCUCAUUUCCAGGUAAGUAGUGCAUAGCACCUAGGUGAUUCGGGCGACGGCCAGUCGGUAAUCCGGAAACGAGUCCACCUCGCCAUGCAGAUCAACCCGAGGGUCAAAUGGCUCACCGUUCAAAAGAGACGUAGCCCUGCUUCACCAGUGCUCCUCAUGUAAAAGUGAAGAAAUUCAAUGAAGCACGGGUAAAGGGCGGGAGUGAGUAUGACUCGAUUAAGUUAGCCAAAUGCCUCGUCGUCUAAUUAGUGACACGCAUGAAUGCAUGAACGAGAUUCCCACUGUCCCUACCUACUAUCUAGAGAAACCACAGCCCUGUUGAGCUUGACUUUAGUCUGGCACUGUGAAGAGACAUGAGAGGUGUAGAAUAACUGGAAGGCCUCGGCCGCCGGUGAAAUACCACUACUCUUAUCGUUUUUUUCACUUACCUGGUGAGGCGGGGAGGCGAGCCCCGAGCAGGCUCUCGCUUCUGGUGUCAAGCCAGGCUUGCGCCGGGUGCGACCUGCUCCGGGGACAGUGGCAGGUGGGGAGUUUGACUGGGACGGUACACCUGUCAAACGGUAACGCAGGUGUCCUAAGGCGAGCUCAGGGAGGACAGAAACCUCCCGUGGAGCAGAAGGGCAAAAGCUCGCUUGAUCUUGAUUUUCAGUAUGAAUACAGACCGUGAAAGUGGGGUCUCACAAUCAUUCUGACUUUUUGGGAUUUAAACAGGAGGUGUCAGAAAAGUUACCACAGGGAUAACUGGCUUGUGGCGGCCAAGCGUUCAUAGCGACGUCCCUAUUUGAUUCUUCGAUGUCGGCUAUUCCUAUCAUUGUGAAGCAGAAUUCACCAAGCGUUGGAUUGUUCACCCCCUAAUAGGGAACGUGAGCUGGGUUUAGACCAUUGUGAGACAGGUUAGUUUUACCCUACUGAUGAUGUGUUGUUGCAAUAGUAAUCCUACUCAGUAUGAGAGGAACCGCAGGUUCAGACAUUAGGUGUAUGUGCUUGGAUGAGGAGCCAAUGGUGCGAAGCUACCAUCUGUGGGAUUAUGACUGAACGCCUCUAAGUCAGAAUCCCCCCUAAAUGUAACGAUACCAUCACGCCGCGGAUCUUUGGUUGGCAGGAUAACCUGCCUCUUUUGGCAGGUGAGUAGAGCCGUUCAUGAUGGGGAUGUGGUGCAGCUGGAUGAGUUUCCACUCCUCUCCUGAUGCACACCGCAUGUUUGUGGGGAACCUGGUGCUAAAUCACUCAUAGACGACCUGAUUCUGGGUCAGGGUUUCAUACGUAGCAGAGCAGCUCACUCGCUGCGAUCUAUUGAAAGUCAGCCCU